rnacentral:rRNA from 1 species
AUUGAACGCUGGCGGCAGGCCUAACACAUGCAAGUCGAACGAGUGGCGGACGUGUGAGUAAAGUCUGGGAAACUGCCCGCUGGAGGGGGAUAACUCCUGGAAACGGUAGCUAAUACCGCAUACCAUCGGAUGUGCCCAGAUGGGAUUAGCUAGUAGGUGGGGUAACGGCUCACCUAGGCGACGAUCCCUAGCUGGUCUGAGAGGAUGACCAGCCACACGGGAACUGAGACACGGUCCAGACUCCUACGGGAGGCAGCAGUGGGGAAUAUUGCACAAUGGGCGCAAGCCUGAUGCAGCCAUGCCGCGUGUAUGAAGAAGGCCUUCGGGUUGUAAAGUACUUUCAGCGAGGAGGCGUUACUCGCAGAAGAAGCACCGGCUAACUCCGUGCCAGCAGCCGCGGUAAUUC